AGUGAGCGCUGGCGGUAGGCCUAACACAUGCAAGUCGAACGGCAGCACAGUAAGAGCUUGCUCUUACGGGUGGCGAGUGGCGGACGGGUGAGGAAUACAUCGGAAUCUACUUUUUCGUGGGGGAUAACGUAGGGAAACUUACGCUAAUACCGCAUACGACCUACGGGUGAAAGCAGGGGAUCUUCGGACCUUGCGCGAUUGAAUGAGCCGAUGUCGGAUUAGCUAGUUGGCAGGGUAAAGGCCCACCAAGGCGACGAUCCGUAGCUGGUCUGAGAGGAUGAUCAGCCACACUGGAACUGAGACACGGUCCAGACUCCUACGGGAGGCAGCAGUGGGGAAUAUUGGACAAUGGGCGCAAGCCUGAUCCAGCCAUACCGCGUGGGUGAAGAAGGCCUUCGGGUUGUAAAGCCCUUUUGUUGGGAAAGAAAAGCAGCAGGUUAAUACCCCGCUGUUCUGACGGUACCCAAAGAAUAAGCACCGGCUAACUUCGUG
rnacentral:rRNA from 1 species